AUGAUCGUGAGGUCAUGUCUGGAGGAUGCUCAAGGCGAAAUCGAGGGGCGGUGAACUGAAACCGGAUUGAGUGUGUGAUCUAGGUGGGGCCAGCGGGCACGUGACUGUUAAGCCCUCCAUUUGCAACGGGCUUAGGUUUUAUAAAUCCGGCGUCUUCGCGAGGAAAGUUAAGUGU
rfam:Metagenome sequence AGZO1401.g1, whole genome shotgun sequence.